rnacentral:rRNA from 1 species
CACGUAGGGCGCAAGCGUUGUCCGGAAUUAUUGGGCGUAAAGGGCGCGUAGGCGGUGCGGUAAGUCACCUGUGAAAUCUCCUGGCUUAACUGGGAGCCUGCAGGCGAAACUACCGUGCUGGAGUGUGGGAGAGGUGCGUGGAAUUCCCGGUGUAGCGGUGAAAUGCGUAGAUAUCGUGAGGAAGACCAGUGGCGAAGGCGGAUCUCUGGACAGCUCCUGACGCUGAGGCGCGAAGGCUAGGGGAGCAAACGGG